AGAAUCAACGCUGGCGGCGUGCCUAACACAUGCAAGUCGAACGAGAAAGGGGAGCAAUCCCUGAGUAAAGUGGCGACCGGGUGAGUAACACGUGACUAACCUACCCUCGAGUGUGGAAUAACAUCGGGAAACCGAUGCUAAUACCGCAUAACAUCGGCGCUUUUAAGAGAUGCCGAUCAAAGGAGCAAUCCGCUUGAGGAGGGGUCGCGGCUGAUUAGCUAGUUGGCGGGGUAAUGGCCCACCAAGGCGAAGAUCGGUA
rnacentral:rRNA from 1 species